AUGAAAAUCAUAAGUUGGAACUGCCGGGGACUCGGGAAUGGCCCGGCAGUUCGUUCUCUUCUUGAGCUAGGAAGAGUGGAGGUUCCCGAUGUUUUGUUCCUGUGUGAAACACGAUUGACAGAAAAGAAGUUGGGGCGGUUCAGGUGGUCGUUGGGGCUCGCCAACAUGGUAGCUUGGAAGGAUGAAAGUAGUGGGAGGGGUGUAGCUUUGUUUUGGAGAAGG
rnacentral:rRNA from 1 species